UUCGAAAACAGUUCAACGCAAGAUAUCCAUUGUAGCAGCUGUCUGUGUGCGAAAGUAAAGCCAAAUAAAUAGAUAAAUUUUUAUUAAAUUUUAUUGUUGGUUUUUGGGUGGAACGAAAAGAAAGAAAUAAUUACAGCACGAUGUGCAAGUGUUUAGCUGGGCAAGUUGCUUGCUGCUGUUGCAGUUGUGCUUUGAAUAUGUUACUGUCGGUGCUUUGCAUCGUACUUGUGAUAGCGGCCGUUGUUGCAGCUGGCAUCUACUUUGGUGUCAUCGACAAGGAUAAGGGCAUUGAAGGAAAUUACGACAGUAUAAAAGAUUCAUUCAACAAUGGUUUGGAUAGUGUCAAAAAGCAAUUCGACAAAAAUAACUGAAUCAUUUUCAUAUUGAACCAAGUGCCCUCCAGCAAAAACAUACACGUUCCUCAAUAUUCAAUCGCCAAUUAUUACGAGUUGCCAAAUUGUUUUUCCAUGUUUCUUUUCAGAAGCCGCCUUUUUCGUUACUUUCGCCUGUAUUUCCACUCCAUAUGACGCCGUUUUAAUGCACCGCCAAUCUCACGAUCAAUUUUUUUUUUCGUAUACCCAAUCGCUUCACCGGAUCAA